GCAGAUUGGCUAGUUUUUGUGGAGGGUUUAUUUUGGAAUCUUGUAUUUGAAAGUUAUCCUCUAUGUUGGACUUGUGUAUAUUAAAGAAUGAUGAUGAUGUUUUAUACCUAUAAACCUUCUGUGAUGUUAAAUGAAAGUCAAUUUUGGUUUACAACUAUCUAUGAUGGGUGAUUUGAUAGUUAAGUAGAUUUUGGAAAUGAUCUGAGUAUUAUGCAUGAU
rnacentral:lncRNA from 1 species